rnacentral:rRNA from 1 species
UACGUAGGGUGCGAGCGUUAAUCGGAAUUACUGGGCGUAAAGCGUGCGCAGGCGGUUCUACAAGCUGGGUGUGAAAGCCCCGGGCUCAACCUGGGAGGUGCAUUCAGGACUGUAGAGCUCGAGUGCGGCAGAGGGAGGUGGAAUUCCAGGUGUAGCAGUGAAAUGCGUAGAGAUCUGGAGGAACACCGAUGGCGAAGGCAGCCUCCUGGGCCGACACUGACGCUCAUGCACGAAAGCGUGGGGAGCAAACAGG